UUGUCCAGGCAAAUCCGGAUAAUCAAGGCUGAGGUGUGAUGACGAGGCACUACGGUGCUGAAGUAACAAAUGCCCUGCUUCCAGGAAAAGCCUCUAAGCAUCAGGUAACAUCAAAUCGUACCCCAAACCGACACAGGUGGUCAGGUAGAGAAUACCAAGGCGCUUGAGAGAACUCGGGUGAAGGAACUAGGCAAAAUGGUGCCGUAACUUCGGGAGAAGGCACGCUGGUGUGUAGGUGAAGUCCCUGCGGAUGGAGCUGAGACCAGUCGAAGAUACCAGCUGGCUGCAACUGUUUAUUAAAAACACAGCACUGUGCAAACACGAAAGUGGACGUAUACGGUGUGACGCCUGCCCGGUGCCGGAAGGUUAAUUGAUGGGGUUAUCCGUAAGGAGAAGCUCUUGAUCGAAGCCCCGGUAAACGGCGGCCGUAACUAUAACGGUCCUAAGGUAGCGAAAUUCCUUGUCGGGUAAGUUCCGACCUGCACGAAUGGCGUAAUGAUGGCCAGGCUGUCUCCACCCGAGACUCAGUGAAAUUGAACUCGCUGUGAAGAUGCAGUGUACCCGCGGCAAGACGGAAAGACCCCGUGAACCUUUACUAUAGCUUGACACUGAACAUUGAGCCUUGAUGUGUAGGAUAGGUGGGAGGCUUUGAAGCGUGGACGCCAGUCUGCGUGGAGCCAACCUUGAAAUACCACCCUUUAAUGUUUGAUGUUCUAACGUUGGCCCCUGACCGGGGUUGCGGACAGUGUCUGGUGGGUAGUUUGACUGGGGCGGUCUCCUCCCAAAGCGUAACGGAGGAGCACGAAGGUUAGCUAAUCCUGGUCGGACAUCAGGAGGUUAGUGCAAUGGCAUAAGCUAGCUUGACUGCGAGCGUGACGGCGCGAGCAGGUGCGAAAGCAGGUCAUAGUGAUCCGGUGGUUCUGAAUGGAAGGGCCAUCGCUCAACGGAUAAAAGGUACUCCGGGGAUAACAGGCUGAUACCGCCCAAGAGUUCAUAUCGACGGCGGUGUUUGGCACCUCGAUGUCGGCUCAUCACAUCCUGGGGCUGAAGUAGGUCCCAAGGGUAUGGCUGUUCGCCAUUUAAAGUGGUACGCGAGCUGGGUUUAGAACGUCGUGAGACAGUUCGGUCCCUAUCUGCCGUGGGCGCUGGAGAAUUGAGGGGGGCUGCUCCUAGUACGAGAGGACCGGAGUGGACGCAUCACUGGUGUUCGGGUUGUCAUGCCAAUGGCACUGCCCGGUAGCUAAAUGCGGAAGAGAUAAGUGCUGAAAGCAUCUAAGCACGAAACUUGCCCCGAGAUGAGUUCUCCCUGAGACUUUAAGUCUCCUGAAGGAACGUUAAAGACGAUGACGUUGAUAGGCCGGGUGUGUAAGCGCAGCGAUGCGUUGAGCUAACCGGUACUAAUGAACCGUGAGGCUUAACC
rnacentral:rRNA from 1 species